GCGGCUGUAGCUCAGUGGAUAGAGUAUCGGCCUCCGAAGCCGAGGGUCGUGGGUUCGAUCCCCGCCAGCCGCG
rfam:Ottowia sp. oral taxon 894 strain W10237, complete genome.